AGUCGAACGGAGAUACACGCUGAAUGGACGGAGCUUGCUUUUGAAAUUUUUGAUCUAUUAGUGGCGGACGGGUGAGUAACGCGUGAGCAACCGCCUUUCAGAGGGGGAUAACGUUUGGAAACGAACGCUAAUACCGCAUGAGACUACGGUACUACAUGGUACAGUGGCCAAAGGAGCAAUCCGCUGAAAGAUGGGCUCGCGUCCGAUUAGAUAGUUGGCGGGGCAACGGCCCACCAAGUCGACGAUCGGUAGCCGGACUGAGAGGUUGAACGGCCACAUUGGGACUGAGACACGGCCCAGACUCCUACGGGAGGCAGCAGUGAGGGAUAUUGGUCAAUGGGGGGAACCCUGAACCAGCAACGCCGCGUGAGGGAAGACGGUUUUCGGAUUGUAAACCUCUGUCCUCUGUGAAGACAAUGACGGUAGCAGAGGAGGAAGCUCCGGCUAACUACGUGCCAGCAGCCGCGGUAAUACGUAGGGAGCGAGCGUUGUCCGGAUUUACUGGGUGUAAAGGGUGCGUAGGCGGCCCUGCAAGUCAGAAGUGAAAUCCAUGGGCUUAACCCGUGAACUGCUUUUGAAACUGCAGGACUUGAGUGAAGUAGAGGCAGGCGGAAUUCCCGGUGUAGCGGUGAAAUGCGUAGAGAUCGGGAGGAACACCAGUGGCGAAGGCGGCCUGCUGGGCUUUAACUGACGCUGAAGCACGAAAGCGUGGGUAGCAAACAGGAUUAGAUACCCUGGUAGUCCACGCCGUAAACGAUGAUUACUAGGUGUGGGGGGUCUGACCCCCUCCGUGCCGGAGUUAACACAAUAAGUAAUCCACCUGGGGAGUACGGCCGCAAGGCUGAAACUCAAAGGAAUUGACGGGGGCCCGCACAAGCAGUGGAGUAUGUGGAUUAAUUCGAAGCAACGCGAAGAACCUUACCAGGUCUUGACAUCCCGCUAACGAGGCAGAGAUGCGUCAGUGCCCUUCGGGGAAAGCGGAGACAGGUGGUGCAUGGUUGUCGUCAGCUCGUGUCGUGAGAUGUUGGGUUAAGUCCCGCACGAGCGCAACCCUUACUGUUAGUUGCUACGCAGAGCACUCUAGCAGACCGCCGUUGACAAACGGAGAAGGUGGGGAUGAUGUCAAAUCAUCAUGCCCCUU
rnacentral:rRNA from 1 species